CUCCGCCCCAGGAAGUCCCGCCCUCAGCCAGGGGCCGGGCCCGGGCCGAGCCCGCCGCGAUCACGCCUCCGGCCGCCAUCUUUGUGCCGGGCAGCGCCCCACGCCGCCAUCUUUGAGUGGGGCGCUCCGUCCGUUCAUCGGACAGGAGGAAAGAAAUGUGAAUUCCCGACUCCUUCGGCCCUUCAACAAACACGACGUCAGAGGGACGUUUGGAGUAUGCUCGUCGCCUCCUGGGUUUGACAAACGUUGUGCGACAACAAAUGGAAAUAGAAAGCAAAAAAACUACCAUGCAGUGUUAUUCCAACUCAUCAAAAAACGUUGCAGAGAAGCAUAACUAUGUACAAAACAUCAAAGAAAGUGUUAUACCACGACGAGCUGUAAUUCAGAGACACCAGGUGUGAACGCUUACCCAGCUGACCCGAAUAAAGGCACCCGCCAAAGAAAGGAUGUGCAGUGAGGUGGGGUGGUAAUGUAGCUGUGUUGCAACCAGAGGUGAAGGCCCCAGGUGCACCACGAAAGGUUCCAGCCUGUCCAUGUACCGAAGAAUGAGAACAAAAUGGGGGAGAAAAAUGGGACUUGUGUACUCUGAGGCAAAUACACACCCACCAAACAG